UUCUGCCCUAGGUUUCCAUUUCUAAUUGCCACUUAUCAUUCUUGUCUUCUUUCUUAACACUCCUUUCUCCGCUGAUUUAAAGAACUCUAUCAUCCUCAACCUCCACUUUCACUUCCUCUUUUUUGAGCCUUGGAAGUUCAGCUUUGAAAACAUGGGCUUCAGUGUCUCCUUCCGGUCGACGCGGUUGUUAACGAAGGCCGAAUUUUCACCGGACAUUAGCGAAGAAGAGGAAGGAAAGCCUUUGAAUGGAUCUGAAAAGUCAAAAGAUGAGAAAGGAUAGAAGAUACUGCUUCGUGCAUUGCCCAAAAAACUUGGAAUCAUUGCCAUUUUUCUCUGUAGUAAAAUUUAAAACUGGUGUUAUUAGUAGAUGUUGAUUAUAUUGUGUUUUCUUCUUCGUUGUGAUGCAGGUGACGGUGGAGGAGCUUUGUAUUUUUACGAAAUCAAAACCCUAGCAAAAUUUGGUAAGUUCGUGACAAGAGCAACGUUUGAGGAGAAGCCAAAUAGUGGUAGCAGCAGUUUAUACAGCAGGAGCUACUAGUAUUACUACUGACGAACUCAAGAGUUCAGUCUUGGACUGCCUCAUUCGUAAGAGUUGCUGUUGGUUUUAGGAUUUGGAAUAGCAUGUGAUGUUUGCCAACCCUCUGAUGUGCAAAAAUUGGCAAAUUUUGCUUUCAAAUAAUUUGGUUCCAUUGACAUAGAGUUCAUUACAAUCUUAAGCACCGGUAUUCUGAGGAUAUUAUUUAUAGUAAAGCAGGGCCUGUAUUGAUUCCUGUCCAUCCCUUUAAACCUGUGCCACUCUUUGGAAGUAAAAUUAUCGAGGCUUACAAACAGAAACUUAUGGACAAUCCUCAUAUUUAUGCCAUAGCAGACACUGCUUACAAUAAGAUGAUGAAAGGAGCAUAAGAUCAUGGAUGUUGGUGCAUUGCAUUGGCAAAAGGCUCGUUCUGUGAGAGAUUGAUGUAUGGGACAUAUUGGGGUUCAAGACAUUCUGAGUGUUGUUUUCCGCAUCUUGUUUUUAGUUUUUACCACUUCAGACUUCAAUUACUAGUUAAUUUUACUUGUUUUUUUAUCUUCCAAAUUUUUCAUUUUGAUUUUCUAUCUCAAAAUUUAGUCUUCUGCAAAUGCUUGCUAACAAAUUUAAUUGUUUGAUCUCGGCAUUUCACUCUCUGUCAAUCAUGUAGAAAUGUACAAAAAUUUGCAUUUUGUUUCGACUCGACUCGGUUACACCCCUAGUUUUAUAAUAGUGGGUCUUACUUUUAA